rnacentral:rRNA from 1 species
GACGAAGGGGGCUAGCGUUGUUCGGAAUUACUGGGCGUAAAGCGCGUGUAGGCGGCUUCUUAAGUCAGGGGUGAAAUCCUGGAGCUCAACUCCAGAACUGCCUUUGAUACUGAGGAGCUUGAGUCCGGGAGAGGUGAGUGGAACUGCGAGUGUAGAGGUGAAAUUCGUAGAUAUUCGCAAGAACACCAGUGGCGAAGGCGGCUCACUGGCCCGGUACUGACGCUGAGGUGCGAAAGCGUGGGGAGCAAACAGG